AAUAAACCAAUUUUUAACUUUUUACCUUUAAUUUUUUACUCUUCGUCUUAUUCAAAUUUUUAUUACGAUCGAUAUUUUUAUUUUUAUUAGAUGAUAAAUUAUGAAUAGUACUUUACGUGUGACUAAUUUUUUUCUAAUUUCCUGAAAACUUUUCAAAUAAGACGGAUGGUUAAACGUUAGACACAGAAACCGAAAAAUUCGUUUUUU
rnacentral:pre_miRNA from 1 species